ACAGUCUUUAGUAAACAUAUACACAUUCAAAAUUCAGUGACAUUAUAAAGUUUGUAUUUAUAUUUGUCUUCAUCUUCAUUAUAGGAACGAUUAGUGCUGGACCAACCACUUGUCCACCUAAUUCGAAAUUGAAGGAGUUGGGAGGGUCUACCUGCUAUUAUCCUGUGCCUACUUGUCAAAAUCCAAAUCCAAAAUUCAUAAAUGAUCCGCAAGGAUGUACAAUGGAUUUGAUAAGGGACUGUUGGUGUAAUGAAGGAUACUUGAUGAAUAAUGAUAAAUGUGUACUCAAAGAAAACUGUUCUUAAAAAUGAAGCUUGUUCAAUUUUUCAUUUUUGUAUAAAUAUAUUUGUUUAUUUAAAUAAAUAAUACUUCUGUCAGUAACUUUUCGAAUUUGUUUAUUAACAUAAUAUUAAUUGACUAUAUUAUAUGGACAAAGAAUUGUAAUCUUAAGUUUGUAAUGCAAAGACAGAUCUAUUAGUCUAAGAGACCAGUGACCUGUAACUUGUAGAUAUAUUUAGAAGUAUAGAUGUUUAGACACUGAAUCUCUCAGACCUGCCACUAAUAAGUGUGGUCCUGCUAAGCCUACCAAAUUAGACUUUUGAAUUACUCAUGAUGCAUCAGGUAUGGAAAAUAAUCUAACUUUUAUGAAAAGUAUUUCAUAAAGUUUUACUGUUCAAAAGCUUGAAAAUUUAUGAUUUCGGUGCUUAUAAUGUUACAGUAAACAAUUGCUCAUUAGCACAAUCAUAGAAAUAAAUAGAUUUCAUUAACCUUGAUUCUACAUGAAAUAAGGCCGGUUCGACAGAAAAAUGACUUUUGAGAGUUUAUUUUGUCCUUAUUACUUCGUACGGAUUGCAUCAGUACUUAUAACGGAAUAUAUUUAGUACUAUAAGCAAGUUGGUUAUUUCUUAUGUAGUGUGAGACAUUAUUCCUCACUGUUUUCAUUGAUAAUCAUUUUGUAUGUGUUUUUAGGAACUAAUAUAACUGUUUGUUUAAGUAGCGUUCACCGUAAUCACUUAUUUCUACUUUGACAUAAUUUACUUGAAGAUAUUUCUUGAUUUUAUUGUUCGGUAUAAACCACGGUACGUGCGCGCUUGUGCGUAAAAUUUUAGACUGAAGCCUCUGCAUAAGCUUGAACUGAGAUUUGGUUGCUGUCCACCACAACUUGAUCCCAUUGGUUCAUAUUGGCGUGAAGACGACUUUGAAAGGAAAAUUUGGAUUUACGUCCUAGUAACCAAUAGUGUUUGUAAUUCAUUUCUUAACUGUUUCUUAUGAGUAAGGAGAUGUGUUUUCAGGGUAGCCCUUCGUCUAAAUUGAUACCCAGGUACUUUACGCUGUCUGUUUGUGGUAGGGUUUGUCCGUUUAUCGUUACUGUAGGUGUAACUCCUCUACAUUUUGUUAAAAUAGUUUGGAGUUAUUUUGCUUCAUUAAUUUUGACUCCACAGAUUCUUGUCCAGUCGUUUAUUUUGAUAAGAUAUUAUUGUAGAUAAGCUGCUGCUACGGUAGGGUAUGUACGGUUUGCCAAUAUUGCUUUGUCAUCGACAAAUGAUGCGGUAGUUAUAUUUUCACUUGUCAGCAGAUGAGCAGAAAAAAAUAAGUAUAGAAUAGGUCCAAGCACGCUACGAUGGAUAUCUCAAGAACCUAAUACCUAGGGAAUACCUAACUCAUGUAGGAGCCCCCAGACUUGAACAACUGGGCUUAGCUUCGGCCAACUCUGGAAAACCCGGCUUUGGCAAACCAAUAAUGUCAUAAACCUGGUUGAAUUCUGGGUUGCUCGACCUCGGCCAUCCUACAGUCAGCCAGGCUUGGCAGAAUUCUGAGUAACCACCCUAUAGUCACACAAACUGGGCUGAGCUCUGGGUAACCCGACCUUGGCUAUCUUAUAGUCAGCCAAGCUUGUUAGAACUCUCAAUAACUAUAUAAAGUUUUGUUCUAAUAUCUUAUCUAUAAUAGAUAUCUGAACAUUAGAAGAAAUAAAUAAUUUUAUAUGAAUGAAAUUCUUGUAUGCAUAAAAAACCCAAAAAAUAGAAUAAUAAAAAAUAGUAUCAUUUAUUUAUUUAAGUAUUUAACUGGUAUUUUUAUGUACAAAAAUUAGUGGAGCGCAUUAAUAGAAAUUUCUGGUCCAUGGUUGCAGACCAGUCUUGGGUUUAUCUACGCAGGUAGGCCUGGUCUAGGCUUGCAAACGAAGCGAGGGACAUUGUUAUUGUCCCAGAGUUCCAUCUAGUUUGAGUCAAUAAUGGCUUCCAAGCUAGUGCCAGGGGUAUACAUACUUGGCCCAAGUCUGGGCCCAUCGUAAAAUCCUAUAAGGAAGUACAUGAAAUAUAUUUCAAAGUUGAUAUAAUUGAUUAUCCAUUUAGAACUCGAAAAUAAAGGUCACUCAUUUAAUUUUAGUAAACAAA